rnacentral:tRNA from 1 species
GGCGGCGUAGCUCAGUUGGUUAGAGCGAGCGGUUCAUACCCGCUAGGUCACCCGUUCAAGUCGGGUCGCCGCUACCA